rnacentral:rRNA from 1 species
CCUACGGGUGGCAGCAGUGAGGAAUAUUGGUCAAUGGACGCAAGCCUGAACCAGCCAUGCAGCGUGCAGGAUGACUGCCCUAUGAGUUGUAAACUGCUUUUGUACGAGGAUAAACUCAGAUACGUGUGCCUGUCUGUAAGUAUCGUAUGAAUAAGGAUCGGCUAACUCCGUGCCAGCAGCCGCGGUAAUACGGAGGAUUCAAGCGUUAUCCGGAUUUAUUGGGUUUAAAGGGUGCGUAGACGGUCGGAUAAGUUAGAGGUGAAAGUCUGAGGCUCAACUGCGGAAUUGCAACUGAUACUGGCAGGCUAGAGAGUAGUUGAGGUAGGCGGAAUGUGUGGUGUAGCGGUGAAAUGCUUAGAGAUCAUACAGAACUCCGAUUGCGAAGGCAGCUUACCAAGCUGCUACUGACAUUGAGGCUCGAAAGUGUGGGGAGCAAACAGGAUUAGAUACCCUAGUAGUC